GGUCCGUACACAGUGUCCAGGGAGACGCAGAAGAGAGCUAUUAACUCUGCCCAGAGAAGAGAACACCACAGGCGGGGUGAGAGGAAAGUGCUGUGUGAAAGUUUUCUCAGAGAAGCCAGGAAAUGCAGCAACAUGUGCUUCUUGGAGGUAUGAGAAGAACAGUAGAGACAGCACUGACCUUUACCUCCAGGUGGAAUAGUAUGUCUGCAGCAGGACAGGUGAUGCUGUCUACACUGUAAAUCUGGAGAGGACCUGAGCAAAGGUUUGUUUCCACUGAAGGCCCUGCUGAGAUGUAGUUCCUAAGUGGGCUGUAUCUGGUGACUUACAGUAACAAGUAUACUAAAGUAGGAUUGGCAGUGUGUGCUGUGAUCUGACAACACUCUGAACCUUCAUCCGUGUAUUAAAAUCUGAUUGCCAGCAUGCAGUAGGAGAUGCCUGCAGAUCAAGAUGUAGGACUCUCAGCUUCUCCAGCACCAUGUCUGCCUGCGCAUUGCCGUGCUUCUCUCUAUGAUGAUAAUGGACUAAACUGUAAGCCAGCCCCAAUUAAAUGCUUUGCUUUAUAAAAUCGCUGUGCUCAUGAUGUCACUUCACAGCCAUAAAACCCUAACUACAACACAAGUUGGUACCAGGAGUAGGGUAUUACUGUGAAAGGCCUGACCAAGUUUCUGUUUAGAGAAAUGUGGACCUUGGGACUUUGGGUUAGGAAUGCUUUAAGUGUGACUUAAUAAGCCAGUAGUGGGGCUGGAGAGAUGGCUCAGAGGUUAAGAGCACUGUCUGCUCUUCCAGAGGUCCUGAGUUCAAUUCCCAGCAACCACACGGUGGCUCACAACCAUCUAUAAUAAGGUCUGGUGCCCUCUGCUGGCACGCAGGAGUACAUGCAAAUAGAGCACUCGUAAAAUAAAGAAAUGAAUCUUUAAAAAAAGGAAAGAAAAUUAAAAAAAAAAAAUAAGCCAGUAGUAGGAGCAUGAUAGAGAGUGCUGAGGGUGAUUGGAGGACUGGCUCAAGAGGAUAAUAUUUGUAUGUGGCCCUAAAGACAUAUCUUGUGAUAUUUUGGCCAAGAAUGUGGUUACUUCUUGCCCUUAUCCACAACAUCUGUCUGAGGCAGCUCAGUGGGGUUGCAAAAAUUCAGGAAAGGCUAACUUGAAGAAUUUUGGAUUAAUUGCAUUGGCAAAAAAAAAAAAAUCUUAAAAGUCUAGUAUCAACUCUGUUGAAUGGUUAUUAAUCAGAUUUAUAGUCACAAUGAGCAACUUAGGCAAGGAAAAAUACAAAAUGUACAAUUUGAGGAGAAAAAGAGCACCAGGAAGUGGAAUGAAGCUAUGUCCUGUGCCCAAGGAGAAAAACAACUAAAGAAAACUAUGAUAUUAAAUAGAAUAAAGGGAGUGGUGACUUCUGAACAGGACACCACUCAGCUAAGCUUCCAACUUGUGAAAAGGAAUUAAAGAACUGUUUAGGCUCAGGUGUUGUGGUACUCACCUUUAGUCCCAGCACUGAGGAGACAAAGACAAGCAGAUCUUUGGGUUCAAGGACAGCUUGGUCUACAGAUCAGAGUUCCAGGACAGCCAAGCUUAGGCAGUGAAGGAAACCAUUGAAAACAGAAAGCUACUGAAGUUGCAAUUGAACAAGUCGGGCAUGAUCCAGGGAGGCCAGGCACGUGUAAGGGGUAUCUCUGUGUGGAGGCCCAGAGAAACCGUUGUGUGAAGCUGUGAAGGUGAAGCCUGCCUGGAUUGCUUUGGAGACCCCAAAAUGUUGGAGAUGCCAGAGCCAUGGAUACCUGCUGAGAAGAGCUGCUAACAAAGAAUGGAACCAGCCCAAGAGGAGAAUAUGUGUUGCAGUCAACAAAGCUGGAAGGAGUUGGAGAACUGAAGAGCAUUUGAGAUCAGACAUGGAGAUGCAGAGUUUGGAGUUUACCCAGAUAGUUUUGGUCUUGCUUUGGCACAAUAUUUCUUUACUAUGCUCCUUUUAGAAUGGCAAUGUAUGUUCUGUGCCAUUGUAUAUUGGAAGUAUGUGAUCUGCUUUUUCAUUUUGAUUUUACUGGGAUUACAGUUAAGAUCAUAUGAAUCUCAGAAGAGACUUUGAACUUUUAAACAAGUUUGAGACUCUGAGGACCUUUGAAGUUGGCC